rnacentral:lncRNA from 1 species
UGUGAGGGUGCCUGGUUACCAAUCCUUCUGGCACUCUUCCUCAUGAUUAUAAUGUUCCUUUGGCACUAUGCAACCAUCAGAAAAUAUGAAUAUGACCUUCACAACAAGGUAUCACUAGAUUGGCUUCUAGCCUUAGGUCCUAGCUUAGGAAUUGCUAGAGUUCCAGGAAUAGGACUAGUGUUCACUGACCUCACAGCUGGUAUCCCAGCAAACUUCUCCCGCUUUGUGACCAACCUCCCUGCAUAUCAUCGCAUCCUUGUUUUUGUGUGUGUGAAAUCAGUGCCUGUCCCUCAUGUUCCUGCUGCUGAGAGGUAUCUUGUGGGGCGUGUAGGACCUUCUGCUCAUCGGUCCUACAGAUGUAUAGUCAGAUAUGGAUAUCGUGAUGUUCAUCAAGAUGUUGAUUCCUUUGAGUCAGAACUAGUAGCAAGGCUUGCAGAUUUCAUCCAAUACGAUUGGUA